CAUAAAAGAAGCAGCGAAGCAAUCAAUUUCAAUUUUGUUAAAGGUUUCCAAGAUUUUGAAAUUGAAGCUUGCGGGUUGGGUUAGCAACUGAGGAGCACAUCCAAAGAUCCACUGCGAAACAAUGGAUGGGCAUAAUUCGGAUGAGUCAAAGCAAAACACCGCUGAUAUGACAGUUUUUGUGCAAAACCUUCUUCAACGAAUGCAAUCGAGGUUUAAAACGAUGUCUGAUUCCAUUAUCACCAAGAAUAUCCUUUCAAAUGUUCUUUCGUAGGAUAGCAACUUUUGUCUCAACUGUUGCUUACCGAAAAAGUUCUCUUUUUCUUGUUGAGCUAUUAACUUAAAUAACCAGGUUGAAUGGUGUAAAAUAGUCUUAAGUUUAGUUACACAAUUACCAACUUAUGAGGAAAUCCUAGACUAUAAGAACAAGAUUCUUUCUGAGUUAGUGAUUGUGAACCUGUAUCUAAUAAUUGUUAUGUUGGCCAGAUUUGAACAAGGUUGAAACCUUGUCAUGUUUCCAUUGUUUAGCAUUUCUCUAAAUGGAAAGAGUUGCUAUUUAUUACUGUUGAGUGUGGGACAACUAUUGUUGACUUUACUCCUAAGCACUCGAUGAUAUGGGAAACCGUAUAAAUGAGUUGGAGCAAAGCUUCAAUGACCUAAAAGCAGAGAUGGGAGUAGAGGGCUCCUUAACCCUGUUAGACCCGACAAAGCAGAAGUCGGAUGAAGCGAAACAAGAUGAAGGCUCGGCCUGAAACUUGGCCAAAGACUAUAACUUGCAGUUGAUUGUGAUGGUAAGUUGGCGACAUUUGGUUUUGUUUGAGACAACUUUUGUCAAGAGAGGGACAAUACUUGGAGUUCCCAUCUCCCUUUUUUACUUGUAUAAGUAUUUUUAUUCUAUGAACUUUGAGCACAAAUUAUCUGCCUUAAACACCAGUAGAUGAAAAUAUGGUGUGGUGGUUAACAUUCAUGCUUUACCUCCGUGCAAUGCCAAAAUGCUAUUUAGGUUUA